rnacentral:rRNA from 1 species
UGCCAGCCGCCGCGGUAAUACGGAGGGUCCAAGCGUUAUCCGGAUUUAUUGGGUUUAAAGGGUACGUAGGCGGAAAAUUAAGUCAGUAGUGAAAUCCUGCAGCUUAACUGCAGAACUGCCAUUGAUACUGUUAUUCUUGAAUAUAGUUGAGGUAGGCGGAACGUGUAAUGUAGCGGUGAAAUGCUUAGAUAUUACACAGAACACCGAUUGCGAAGGCAGCUUGCUAAACUAUGAUUGACGCUGAUGCACGAAAGCGUGGGGAGCGAACAGGAUUAGAUA